AAAGAGCAAUGGCAUUUUACAUCAUGUCCUGAAAGUCAUCAGUCCAUAACCACUAAGAAGUGAUGCAAAAUGCUGGUAAUCUCUGCCCAGCAAGCAAUCCGAGUCCAUGCGGAAAGCUCCUGAAAAACAUCAUCUGUGUAAGGAAGAAUUCCUUCCUACAUCUCGGUUACCAGGAGCAGGAAGCAGGCUGCAGCAGAUGAGGAUAGCUGAAAUCACAAAUCAGAGCGCCUACUUCUUGAUACUCCUGCCUCAGUUUUGUCUUCUGUGGACCUGGACUGGUAACAGCUUCCUGCCUACCGGGGAUGCUGCAAACAUUAUUGCACACUUAGCAGAUUAUGAGAGCCAGCCCACCUGGAUACCAGCAGCUUCACCGAUCGACAUCGUGAAAAGAUCUGCCCGGAGCCAAGCUGGCCACUGAGCGCCCACCGGGGGGUAUUUAAGGCAGUGCCCAGGGUUGUUGACAGGUCCGGUCUGGUUGGUGUUGUCCAGGGUCCCGUACCGGCUGCUGGCCCCACUCCUCGCUCCAUCCUACUUGCCUCCGUCUUGCCUGCCUCCAUCCUGCUCGUGUCCCACCUGCCUGGGUCUCCUGCUUGUCUUGGAUCCAGUCUGCUCACCACCUGCUUCUCUCCAGCGGUCCUUCCCUGACUGCCUGAAGGUGACUACACCCGGUUCUCUCGCUGGUGGCGGUAACCUUUUUGCACUUUCCUUUUGUAGCCUUUCCUUUUCCUUAUCUCUCCCUCUUAUUCUCCCCCGCUUUUACCGUUACUUAUUGUUACAAAUAAAGUUGAUUGUCUGUUUUGAGACCUAACA
rnacentral:lncRNA from 1 species